rnacentral:rRNA from 2 species
CGCGCGCACGCCGACGCGGCGCGCGAGCCAUGGCGCGACGAGCCCGAGCGCGCCCAUCAGCAGGAUCGGCAGGGUCGUGAGCAGGCUCGCCGCGCUGUCGGACAGGCCGCUCGCGCGC